CACAUACCCUAGAGAGGUUAACCUGGUCCUACCCUUCAUAUACACUGAUUUGAAGUGGAUUUAACAGGUGGCCUCAAUAAGGGUCAAAACCUUCACUUGGUCAGUCUGUCAUGGAAAGAUCAGGUGUUCCUAAUGUUUUGUACACUGUAUAUUGCUCUGUUACCUUUUCUAUAUUCUUAAUCUGGUUUUAGUCAUUUAAGUUGACACUGAAAAGGUUUUUUCAUUCAGAAUGUUAAGAAAUCAUUUCUGGAAACGCAGAAAUAAUUUAAUGAGUUAAUAUCCGAGGCCAAUACUCUAGCGACAGAUGGAUUUAAGACGAGGUGUUUAUUUGUUCUACAGGAAGACCGAUUAGCUGUGAAGUCACUUUGGCCGGAGAAAGAUGGCGUCGCUUCUAUCCCCUACAAGAUCAACGAUGAUCUGGUGGACAGAAAGAAAACCAUGCUAGCAGCGUUCAAGCUCAUUUCAGACCAGACGUGUAUCCGCUUCCACGAAUACACCAAUGAGAUUAACUACAUCGAGUUCAUCUCUGGGACAGGGUUGACCAGGUCUAUUUUGCUGUAGUGUUCUUCCGCGAUGACCUGUGCCAUGACGGCAUGGAUGGUUUUCUCUGUGGGGAAGAAGCGCCUCAGCGGCGGCGGGGUCGUGUCUUGGAACAGCCCCGUCCGCACGUACUGGAC